GCUAAGAAACCCUACCGUAAGGCACCACCAGAGCAUCGGGAGCUGCGUUUGGAAAUUCCUGGAUCCCGGCUUGAGCAGGAGAGAGCCCUACAGCCCUCUUCUGCUAUAAGAGUCUUUGGGCUUCACACCUGAGCCUUCUUGUGGCUAUUCGGAGGGUGAGCCAGCCGGGGGUCCAGUGGUCCAGAGCUGAGCCUCAAGCCUCUCUUUUUUGCCUAGGAACCCCUGACUGAUGCAGAAAGGAUGAAGCUCUUACAGCAGGAGAAUGAAGAGCUUCGCCGGCGCCUGGCCUCCGCCACCAGACGCACUGAGGCCCUGGAACGUGAGCUGGAAAUUGGGCAGGACUGCCUGGAGCUGGAGCUGGGCCAGAGCCGCGAGGAGCUGGACAAAUUUAAGGAUAAGUUCCGCAGGCUGCAGAACAGCUACACGGCUUCCCAGCGGACCAACCAGGAGUUGGAGGACAAGCUGCACACACUGAUCAAGAAGGCUGAGAUGGAUAGGAAGACGCUGGACUGGGAGAUUGUGGAGCUGACCAACAAGCUGUUGGAUGCCAAGAACACCAUCAACAAGCUGGAAGAGCUCAAUGAGCGGUACCGGCUGGACUGCAACCUGGCUGUACAGCUCCUCAAGUGCAACAAGUCCCACUUCCGAAACCACAAGUUUGCCGAU
rnacentral:sRNA from 1 species